GCCCAUUAUUCUCUAUUUUUUAUAUUGUAGAAGCCCACUAUUCUCUAUUCUUAAAUUUUUGGCCUAUCCUUUUCUUUUCUAUUCUUUAAUUUUUUUAGCACAUUAUUCUCUAUUCUGUAAACUCCAUCCACACCCUCAUAUAUAGAAGAUACCAUUCUAGUUAUCUACGUCUUUUUUUAUUUCACUAAAUUAUUAUGAUUGUAUCUCUUAAUGUUAAUUUUUUUUAUUUCUUUUUUAAAAGUAGUGUCUUUUUCUAACCUAGAUUUGUAUACAUGUUUAAUUUUGCUCCAGAUUUUUUUUCAUUUUCAAUGCAGUUUCGUGUUCCCCUCUAAGUGGGCAAUUUUUCUUCAUAAUCCAAAACUGUGUACUUAUAUUUCAAGAUAACACGACACCGAAUGGCAUAUCUCCCGAUUUCUAAAAUUUUUGGCACACUUGUACUUUGAAUCGAGUUACAUCGGAAUAUGUAAUAAAAAAAAUGGGGGGUCACCACUUCUGUUUUUUCGUAAAUUUGAUUAGAAAACGUCAAUUUUGACGACAAAUUUACACAGGGAAAAUGCUUUGUUUUAACUUUUCUUUUUUUCAAAUUUUUUUUCAAUAGAUGGCUUUGUUCUUAUAUACGGAGAAAACUAAAAACUAACAUAAUAUCCCGGAUUAUGCCUCUAAGGUGCAUGCUUUUUGUAUUAGUUGUUAUUAGCUUUCAACUAGCUGUCAGUAACUGCGAGUACUCUGUACUUAAAGUCUUUUGGUUGUUGGGAUGUAUAAGUACCCUUCCACGUCCACUCUCUUUUUGUAAGAUGUAUUCUAUUUGCAUCCAUCUGAUGAGUUAAGCCUUUUUUAACUGAUUUCUACAGUUAAUUCUCAUGUUGUACUGUUACACCACUGUCCCAAGUUAAACUGGUCCGUCAUUCCAUCUUAAGCUUCGCACCGUUAGUGUAACGAUAAGGGAACACAACAGGGGUCCAGUUUAUGUCCCAGGUUAGGGGAAAGGAGGGUUGGCGCCUUUAAACGAGUUUAACCUGACCACAUUCUGUAUGUUCCUGUCCCGAGUCAAGUAGUCUGUAAUUUAGUUUGUUGCUAUGUAACAUAUUUGUUUUUCGUUCAUUAUUUUGUACAUAAAUUAGGUUUUCUCGUUUGAAUUGUUUUACAUAUGUCAUUUCGGGGCCUUUUAUAGCUGACUAUGCGGUAUGACUUUGCUCAUUGUUGAAGGCAGUACAGUGACCUAUAUAUGUAAAUUUCA
rnacentral:lncRNA from 1 species